UACAGAGGGUGCGAGCGUUGUCCGGAAUCACUGGGCGUAAAGGGCGCGUAGGUGGCGCUGCAAGUCGGUGGUGAAAGCUCGACGCUUAACGUCGAGUCGGCCAUCGAAACUGCAGGGCUCGAGCACUGUAGGGGCAGAUGGAAUUCCGGGUGUAGCGGUGGAAUGCGUAGAGAUCCGGAAGAACACCGGUGGCGAAGGCGGUCUGCUGGGCAGUUGCUGACACUGAGGCGCGACAGCGUGGGGAGCAACAGGG
rnacentral:rRNA from 1 species